GCCGGAGAUAUUUAAAACACUGAAGUAGCCAUUGUGCUUUUAUUCGUAGUUUCGUAUGUUCACGGAUCAAUCUGUGCGCAUUUUUAGAUUCAGGCAUCUCGUUUUGAGAACAUCUUGUUAUUCAGAGUUGCUGUUUUGUCAUGCGUCGCUUGAUGUAGGAUUUGAGCUCCGGAUUUGUUUGCACUCAAAAGCAGUUCAUUUAUAUUUUGUUAUUCACGUUCUAAGUAGCUGUAAAAGAUGACGACAUAUUGGUAUAUUUCUGCUGCCCUUUUAGUUUGUUUGAACAUUUCCAAUGCUAUUGACAUGUAUGGGUUAAGCUACAACUACUUUGACGAGAUGGCACAAAACUAUUGCGCUGCAAAAGGUGAAGGCUGGGUGUUUAGUAUUAGGCGGGAUUGUUUUGGCGUAGCUCCAACAUGCAACGACAUGUGUGCGGCGGCAAAGACCGACAUUCCUAGUGCCAUGGGAAUUCAAGUGACUAAAGCUUGCUGUUUCGAUGGAGUUUUCAUAAUAAAAGAUCACAAACAACUCCUGCCUAACCCAGCAAACUCGCAACCUGAUGCAGGAAAGGCCAGUCUGAUUACAUAUGGUUAUGGUGUUGGCGCGUGUACCUGGGGCCCUAAUCACUGUGGUCCAAACUAUUGCUGUUGCAAAGGAGAUUGGAAACAAAAUAAUUCGAUUUUGAAAUAUAUUCGAAAGAGUUAAGAUCAAAACAGUUGUGGUACUGGAAUAUUCGCAGUCAAAAAUAAUAAGAUGAAUAAACGAAUUACAGAACAAAAUGCAUUUAUGAAUAUUGUUGUAAAUCGUGUAGUUGUUUUAAUGUAUUGUUUGUAAAAUGUAAACUGAAAGUAAAAGUGAAGGUAUACAUUGGAAAAUUAAUUUGAUUUGAACCCCUUGUGUUUCAUCAUGAUAAAACCCGAAAAUACGGCAUUAAUACAUUUGUGUACAAAGUACGAUUCAUAAUUAUUAGAAAAAGUUCAGAAAUUGAUAAAAUGUUUGCUUAAUAGUGGAAAUUUUAAUUAGUUUGAUUUUAAUUUUAAAUUGUUUAGCAGGGACAAUGAUUUUUGCCAUGUUUCAUUCUAAUGAGGAACACUCAGAUAUAUAAUGUUUUUCAUAAUCCAGUAUUAUUUAAAUGUGAUACAUGUAUCUAGCACAAGUUUUGGAAUGCACAAUAUUUUUCAUUUCAAUUUCCGGCAACGAUUUCUAUCCAUACGACACACGAAUACUAACAUGGUACAUAAACAUUUGUUGAAUAUAUUGUCCCAAAAACAACAAAAACAUCAUUUUGUAUCUUGUAAAAUCUAUAUACCAGACCACAUCUAGCGUUGAAAUUUUGGCUAUUGCUAUAAGGAACUUUGAUUUUUUAUGUGUUAAUUUAAUUUUUCGAAAUAGUGUCAAUUUCACUAUCAGUCACUAGGGAAACUAACAGUCAACAUCAGAACUAACACAACGCAUACACAGUACAUGUCAGUCUUAACCGGAUGCAAAUUCAGAUAUAACUGAGAUUGUGUCAAUAUUUUGAUUCAUCAAUAAACAGGACAAACCUCAAAUUAUUGUCAUGCCCUAGAUUGUUCAUGUAAACAUGUGUUUAUGUACAUGUACAUUGUUCAUUUUUAUCGUUUAUGUUUUGCAUCUAAAUGACAAUGUCACUGUUAUUUAAGGCUUUUAUUGGAUGCUGUGUGGUAGUUAGAGCUGAUAACAGCCGAUGCCUACCUUUUGCGCUUCUUUAUUAUUUGUAAUAUCCUUUUUAAAUGUCUCAUUGUAUUAGCGUCUGUUAAUAUGGCAGCCAUUUUGGAUAAACAGGAAGUUGAUUUCCUGAUGCUGACAUAAGUGCCUUCUGGGUAGUUUACACUGGCUACAGUAUUUUUGACAGUUUAGUCAUAUGAAAUAAUUUGUUAAAUACUCAUAAUCAACCAAAAUUAUCUAAUAACAAGGUAAUAGUAGUGUUUACAAAUGAUUUAUUUAUUUAAUUGAUAUGUAUUUGACUAUUGUUUAAUUGUCAUAUCGUCAGAAAUAUCAUUUUAAGACGAGUGACAUUUACCGUGUCAAGAACGCUAAAAUUAUAUUGUGCGCUCUUGCGCGCUUUACUGAGCGUUGCUUGUGCGCUUUUUAAACACAUUUCAUAUGUGCGCUUUUAUGUUAAUAUUGCAAAAUGCUAUGCGUGCGCAUCUGGACAGUAUAUAUGGCACUGAAAAUUGUCAUUCGAGGACUCUGAACUUUGUUUUCCUAUGUGUAAGACCUAUUUUAUUUUUCUUAUAAGCAUUUAAAAUAAAGUUUUCAAUAAGACUUAGCUAUUAAAAUUAAGACUGAAUUUUAUAAAUUGCAUUUACCAUCUUUUAGGACAUUAUAAAAUAGAGAGUGCAAAUACUUAACAUGAUACCUGUAUAUUGCUGUAUUGUAAUGAUAAAUGUCUGAGAAUUAAUCUGUCUGUUAAGAAAUAUAUUAUAUAUAUAUUGAAAGUUGUUAUAAAUUUAUUCGUUAUGAAUGAAUGAA